GACGAACGCUGGCGGCGUGCUUAACACAUGCAAGUCGAACGGAAAGGCCCUGCUUUUGUGGGGUGCUCGAGUGGCGAACGGGUGAGUAACACGUGAGUAACCUGCCCUUGACUUUGGGAUAACUUCAGGAAACUGGGGCUAAUACCGGAUAGGAGCUCCUGCUGCAUGGUGGGGGUUGGAAAGUUUCGGUGGUUGGGGAUGGACUCGCGGCUUAUCAGCUUGUUGGUGGGGUAGUGGCUUACCAAGGCGUGGACGGGUAGCCGGCCUGAGAGGGUGACCGGCCACAUUGGGACUGAGAUACGGCCCAGACUCCUACGGGAGGCAGCAGUGGGGAAUAUUGCACAAUGGGCGGAAGCCUGAUGCAGCAACGCCGCGUGAGGGAUGACGGCCUUCGGGUUGUAAACCGCUUUCGCCUGUGACGAAGCGAGAGUGACGGUAAUGGGUAAAGAAGCACCGGCUAACUACGUG
rnacentral:rRNA from 1 species